UGUAAAUAAAGAGAACAUUACUCUGUGGAGGACAGUGUAAUUUUCUUACAUAUAAAAAUUUAAAAAAUCCAUUUUAUUAUUUAUUUAAACUGAACAAACUAGACCGAAAAAGAAAAGUUAGAUUAACUUUGAAAUCUCAAUCUUUUUACUAACAAUCACCAGCCAAACUGGAGGUAAAAAAGACUAAAUUGUCCCACAAUUACAUUAUAUUAGACAGAAAAGGCACACAAAGGUGUUGCUGCAUUUUGACAUAAGCCUAAAUACUGCAGGCCCGUUGACCUCAUGGCUCUGGGUGUCGCUGCAAAGCCUCCUGCAGUUUAACGCCGUCUUCUCAGCCAUGACCGAGCGUCCAGCUGAUGAUGUUCUCCCAAUGAACAUCAAAAGACUAAAAGAUGAGGAGUUUUGCUAUUUCUCAGUUCAAUAGGUUAGAUAACUUGGAGCUGUUUGCUUCAGUUUUCUUUAUUUUUCCGUCACUCUUUGUUUGUUGAAUUUACUUUUCAGGUUUUGGUGUUUGGCUUUCCUCUCCUUCACUAAUAAAAAUCCCACCAGGUUUGAGUUUCUGACCACCGCAGCUGUUCCUGUUUGAGUUAAUCGGCUCAGGUUUUCUUUCCUGUUGGGUCUUUCCAACACCUUUGAUUACUUUUAUGUUCUGUUUUAACAGGGGAGGGGGGUAAUUUUCAGUUGAACAACUUCAGUUUUUUUUCUUUUUGGUCGUCCAGCCUGAAGAUCCCAGUGUUUGGGGUCAACUCCUGACUGAACAAAGGACUGGAAAAGUCAUGGAAAUGAAGAAAAAUAGGCCUGAAAAUUGGAGCAGGUGGAAUUGAAUCAGCAAACUCUGACGGAGUCCGAAAGCGUCGCAGUGCUAAGUGGGGGAUCAAACGGCAGCAGGAGCGAGGAGGCCAACGCUGCAUUCAGCUGGAUGGAGAUGGAGGCCUGGAACCAGACGUCCUGAUAAUGUGGAGAAAAUGAGAGGAGCGGAAACCUCUCGGCUUCUGUUCCCACACCAAGCUGGGCUCUUUGUGGAGAACAGGAAGCUGGACUGGAUGCCUGCUGUCUCCAAGUCAUGGCAAGUGGGUAUUAGAUGCCUAAGGAGGAGGUGGACACUCAUCCAAGUAUGAG
ensembl:lncRNA